GAAAAUGUGAAACUGGAGUUUUCAGAUCUAUUUGCACCAGUGCUAGUUCCACCGCUGUUGUUACGUGCUUGAAUUACUAACGAUCAGUGUGAGCUGCAGUGUGUAUCUGACUAAAGUUAAACUGGAGCUUGCUCAAGUCUUUCACCUGAGUUAGGGUGCAGAGACCCGAGUGACUCCAGUGUGUUUGGGCAUUGCGCUCAAAACUAUGCAGCAGCCAGCCUUUCAGCAAGGGUAGAGCACAGAGGGGCAAUAGAGCUGUUGUUCUGUGUGCCAGGCUUAGAGGCCUGGACAGUUUGCAGCAAUUCUUCCCAAGGCUGCAAUAGAGAAGUGACCUUUGGAAGGAGAUGUUGCCACUGUGAUCUGCUCUGAUCCUUAGCAGUGUGAGCUUAGAAAGUCGGCACAGAUGAAGUUACAGUUUAGUGUGAGGCUGAGUGCUUGGACCUGUUUCUUCCUUCUUUUAAGAGCAAUAUGUAUUUUGUAUCUAUUUUUAAGUUAAUCGGAAAUGUUAUUUAUAGUCGGUUGUGCACCUCUGUGUAUUCUGAAGUCUCACAGCACAGGACUGGGUGGGAAAACCUGAGAGACUGGAAAGAACGUGGAAGCGAUGGUUGAGGGAAAAAACAGAUGGCCAGUCUGCUCCAAAGGUCAGUCUGAAAGGAUUUCAGAGGCAAAUGGCAGACAGGCAGGAGUUUACACUGACUGGAGACACAGGGCAAAACCUGCCUAACUUAUGUACUCUAAUUAUGAUAUGAGAGAGUGAGAAUAAUUCAGUACUUUUCUUUGUGAACCAAGUUUGUUUUUUAACCUUAUUCAGCUCAGGAACAUUGCCACAGUAGCAAGUACAUGGUGUUCACUGUGGGAGAAGUGAAUGUGAUCCCUUCCUAAAAGCUAUGUGGCUGUACCAGUCCUGAGAAAGCUGUGCAGCACCAUCUACACUUCCACAGAGCAUAGUUUAGUAGCAAUUUGCUUCUUUCUUUCUUCCUUUUUUUUUUUUUUUUUCUUUUCUGAAAUAUAAAUGUAUUGCAAACCCCAGGCUCUGCUGCCUUUGGCAUUUUAUCCUUGUUCAUCCUCUCAAUACGUCAGCUGCUUUUAUUAGCUACCGAGACAAUUUCCGUUGAGAGACCUGAGGGGCUUUUAUUUAUCACCAAGCACAAAGAAGGGUCUUUUUUCAACAAUGUUGAGAUUACCCCCCUGCUCGUGCCCCUGUUUUUUAUGCAUGUGAUGUGCACACUGUAAUGUGCUUUCCUCCUAUUAACAUUCUGAGAACAGUAGGUAGUUUUGCUUUUAUGUGACGUACAAAUAUAUCCGUAUUGCACUGAGAUAUGCAUAUAUAUAUACACAGACAUAUAGCCCCUUAGGGAUUUCCUUUUCUUAGAUGCAAAAUAACAGAUUUACCUCAAUUUGCAUGCUUUCAAAACUGAAUAGGAUAUUGUGUUAUACUUUUCAGGUCUUACGAAGAUGCAGAUAUGUUUCACUCUUCACACAAAAAUACCUUCAUCACAGAUUUUGCAAGCUGUGUACUACAAUCCAUGUACUGCUGUCUGGAGUUUUGUCGGUUGUUCUGCUGGAAUACGUGCAAUAAUAAACAGUUAUCUGCUC
rnacentral:lncRNA from 1 species